rnacentral:rRNA from 1 species
UACGGGGGGUGCAAACGUUGCUCGGAAUCAUUGGGCGUAAAGCGCACGUAGGCGGUUCGUUAUGUCGGAUGUGAAAGCCCUUGGCUUAACCGAGGAAGUGCAUCCGAAACUGGCGAGCUAGAGUACUAAAGAGGAUCGCGGAAUUCCCAGUGUAGAGGUGAAAUUCGUAGAUAUUGGGAAGAACACCGGUGGCGAAGGCGGCUCACUGGCUCGUAACUGACGCUCAGGCGCGACAGCGUGGGGAUCAAACAGG